UUUCCACAGCUCAGCGAGGUAUACAACAGGAAAUUACUCCUCAAACACAAAGCAUGGCGUUGAAGCUAAAAGUUAUGAAGCGUUGGGAGAAGCAGCCAAAUUGAAACCACUUGAAGUAGAGCUGCAGCGUCUUGAGGACCUUAGUGAAAGCAUUGUACAAGAUUUCUCAUACAUGAGGCAGCGUGAGGAGGAAAUGAGAGACACCAAUGAGUCAACAAACUCCAGAGUAUUGUACCUGUCCCUCUUCUCUCUCUGUUGCCUCAUUGGUUUAGCCACUUGGCAGGUU